ACGAAGGCACUACCGUGUCUCUAUUCCGCUCAAAUUAGCACUUUUGAGCGCUGGUGAGCGUGUUGAAUGCUCCUUUCUGUCAAACGUACCUAUACAUAAAUCAAGUCAUCGAAACAAGAACACAAAAUUUACUAAAAGAUGAACAAACGAAACAAAAAAUUAAAAUAGAUGUUUCUACAAAGAAAAAAAAAAGAGGUAGUGUGGGAAAAAUCUCAAGCUGCGGAACAAAAUAUAUUACACAUCAAAAAGAAAAAAAGAAGAAGAAGAGAAGUUGGAAAAGAAAAGAAAA